UCCCCGUUAACCGGGGCAGUCCCCCUAGAGUUCCCGGCAUGACCCGUUGGCAACUAGGGGCGAGGGUUGCGCUCGUUGCGGGACUUAACCCAACAUCUCACGACACGAGCUGACGACAGCCAUGCAGCACCUGUGUCAGCUCCCCUUUCGGGGUCGGUCCCCUUUCGGUUUCCUACCACUGACAUGUCAAACCCAGGUAAGGUUUUUCGCGUUGCGUCGAAUUGAACCACAUGCUCCACCGCUUGUGCGGGUCCCCGUCAAUUCCUUUGAGUUUUAGCCUUGCGGCCGUAGUCCCCAGGCGGGGUGCUUAACGCGUUAGCUGCGGCACAGAGACCGUGGACUGGUCCCCACACCUAGCACCCAUCGUUUACAGCGUGGACUAC
rnacentral:misc_RNA from 1 species